rnacentral:lncRNA from 1 species
GUGUCACGUGAGGUUGGGAACCGCCCUCUUGAGACCUUGGGUGAAGAUCUUGGCGGGGAAGAGAGGUAGAGGGUUGCGGAGGGCAGGUGAAGUGUUCUUUAUUGGGAGCUUAGUUUUUGCCACUCCCAUGGUUCAAGCUUUGACUACAACCAGAAUUCAGAGGCAGGCAGAAGGAUUCCAGUGCUGGAGAGACCUGUGCACACCGAUAUGAGGCAAGGCAGCGAGUGGACCAGAUCCUGGAGACGCGGGAUAUGAUUGGUCGCUGCUUUGUGCUCAGCCAGGACCUGGCCAUCCGGGAUGAGUUGGAUGGUGGGGAAUGGAAGUUCUGUGAGGGACGCCCCCAAGGCCAUGAACAAUUUGGGUUCUGCCAGCAGGGCACAGCUGCCGCCUUCUCCCCUGAUAGCCACUACCUCCUCUUUGGGGCCCCAGGAACCUAUAAUUGGAAGGGUGAGUCACUCCUCGGGAAGGGGAGAAGGGGACCAAAACCUCCUCUUACCUCAGAGACAGGGUUGGGGAUGGCACAUGGCCAAGCAUGACCACAUGUGCACUGCUGUAUGGCCCCAGGGCACU